rnacentral:lncRNA from 1 species
UACCAUUUCUGUGGCUGUCCUUGGGAGCACGGGGUGUUCCCUUUGUUCCUGUUUCAUUCUAGUAGUUCCUCCCCACAGAGGGACUCUCUGGCCACCUCCUCUACUGCAGUCCAGCCCCUCGGUCUGGUAGCCAUUCUGCACUCAGCCUUGUGAGCUCCCCUAGACCAGCCACAUGUCUUCCCUGUGGGCCAAGAGGCCCUAUCAGGCCCAACUCACAUUCCUUCCCGUCUGUGCUUAGCUCUGGAAGGCCACUAUCCCACCUGACCAUCAGCCCACAUUCCAUUCAGCCAGGCCUGCCUUCCCUGUCCUUGGUCAUUCUGUUGCCACUUCUGACUUCAGGAGCUUUACAACAAGCCUCCAGGGUUUAGUGGCUUCAGGGGAAGCCCACUGUGGCUGGGGAUGAGGCUCCUCUGUUCCCUUGCUAGUGUUUCUGGAAUUUGUUUUCCCUCUAGUCUCUUCCCUCUACAAGGGGCUUCUCAACUGGAGCUGAAGAGUACAUGUCCAUCCCAUCAUGCUAUUUGGGGGCUGCCGGGUGGGCUGAGAACAAAGGGCCCCCAACCCUACAUGCUGAUCAUAGCCUGCUGCCGGCCCCUCCGUCUGCCUGUCCCUUUAAGCAUCAUGCCCCCUGGAUGCACGGGAGAUUUGCUCCUUUGUUCCUGGACCAGCCAGAGAAGAGAGAUGGUUAUUUAAAGAGAAUUCUCUAUUUAUUUGACCAAAAAAAAAAAAAUUCCAGUUAAUAUAUUAAUGUGAAGUAAACCCUGUUUGCACCUUGAUUUGUUUGCUAAAACUGUGAAAUAGUAAAAAUGAAAUAACUGGAAAAAAAAAAGGAAUGUA